rnacentral:rRNA from 1 species
GAUGAACGCUGGCGGCGUGCCUAAUACAUGCAAGUCGAGCGAACAGGCGAGGAGCUUGCUCCUCUGACGUUAGCGGCGGACGGGUGAGUAACACGUGGAUAACCUACCUAUAAGACUGGGAUAACUUCGGGAAACCGGAGCUAAUACCGGAUAAUAUAUUGAACCGCAUGGUUCAAUAGUGAAAGACGGUUUUGCUGUCACUUAUAGAUGGAUCCGCGCCGCAUUAGCUAGUUGGUAAGGUAACGGCUUACCAAGGCAACGAUGCGUAGCCGGCCUGAGAGGGUGAUCGGCCACACUGGAACUGAGACACGGUCCAGACUCCUACGGGAGGCAGCAGUAGGGAAUCUUCCGCAAUGGGCGAAAGCUUGACGGAGCAACGCCGCGUGAGUGAUGAAGGUCUUCGGAUCGUAAAACUCUGUUAUUAGGGAAGAACAAAUGUGUAAGUAACUAUGCACGUCUUGACGGUACCUAAUCAGAAAGCCACGGCUAACUACGUG